GUGAAUCAUCGAAUCUUUGAACGCACCUUGCGCCCUUUGGUAUUCCGAAGGGCAUGUCUGUCUGAGUGUCACGAAAUUCUCAACCUCCAAUCCUUUGUGGUUGGCUGGUUGGAUCCUGGGUGCUUGCCGGCUCCGGUCUGGCUCACCUGAAAUACAUUUGUGAUCGUGCACCCUUGUGAGUUGGCCCGACUAGGCGUGAUAGUGAUAACGUUCGUCUAGGAUCCCGCUUCGUGCGAGGAGCCGCUCCUGUUGUGGUGCCGUGUGGUCGCAUUACCCCUAUACAUCUUUGGUUUUGACCCCAGAUCAGGCAGGACUACCCGCUGAACUUAA
rnacentral:rRNA from 1 species